ACAGUUACUGCAGAGGAGCCCGCAGGGAUUGUGAUCGAGACCACGUUAAAUAUACGGAUCGCUCUGGGGAGCACUGCCAUUCCAAGAGCGCUGUCUUCUGAUCCAGGAAUGUGCGUGGUGUGUCUAUCCAGGUGCCCUCACCUCCAGUGGCAUCCAUCCAGACACCAGCACUGACACUGGCCGUGCUCAGAACUGCCUCAGCCCUGAAGACACAACUGACAAAUAGAAGGGGGCAGUGCCCUGUUACAGCAGGUGCUCUCACUUUGUGGGUCCUUAUGUAGCUGCGCGGUGUUAAUCAGGAUCGCCCGUUCUACAUUGUGUGGCGCUGCUGCGGUGACUCCUAGUUACUUGUUUCUGAGAAUUACAGCCUGCUGCUAGAGUGUUUGAUCAGGGUAAAUUAUUUGUGUCUAUAAAAUGCCACGUACUGUCACAAGCUCAGUGAGAAAUGGGCUGUCGCCUCUUCUUCUGCAACUCAGUGCUCAAUAAGACAUCGGGGAAAAGCCAGUCCCUAAUUUGUGUGUGAUGCAAUGAGGAACAAAAUUAACGUCUUGCCUUUUACUAGCAGUAUUCUUACUCCUUUGCUUCAUUUACCUCUUCACUCCUUUACUCUCCCCUUUCCCCUUCUCCACCAAA